rnacentral:rRNA from 1 species
UUCUUUAAAAUUAAAGAUUUUGGCGGUAUUUUAAUCUUUUCAGAGGAACUUGUUUUUUAAUCGAUAAUCCACGAUAAAUUGAACUUUAGUUUUAAAUUUGUAUAUCAUCGUAGUUUAAUAUUUUAUAAAAUAAUAUUUUCAGAUCAAGGUAUAGUUUAUAUUAAAGAAAAAAUGAGUUACAUUUAAUAAAAUAAAUAAAUUGGAUUUGAAAGUAAGCUCUAAAAUAUACACAUAUUGCCCGUCGCUUUCAUUUUAAAUUGAAAUAAGUCGUAACAUAGUAGAUUUAUUGGAAAAUGAAUCUAGAAAGCAAAUUAGAGCUUGAAAAGCAUUUUAUUUACAUUAAAAAGAUAUUUAUAAAAAUUAAUUUGAAUUUAAUUUAUUAUUUUUUAUCUAUAAUUUAAUAUAAUUUAUAAAAAAUUUAUUUAUUUUAUUAAUUUUUAGAAAAAAUUUUAUAAUAGUUUAUUUUACUGUAAAGGAAUUAUUUAAAAUUUGUUAAAGAAAAUUUUAUUUAUUGUAUCUUGUGUAUCAGAGUUUAUUAAUUUAAUUUUCUCGAAAUUAAAAGAGUUAAUUUUAUUGUAAAAUAAAUAUUUAUAAUAAUUAAUUAGUAAUGAAACGUUAAUCGUUUUUAAUUAUAUCUAGUUUUAAAAGAAAUAAAUUUAAUUUAGUUAAUUUUUAAAAUAAAUAUAAGGGAUAAUCUUUUAAUUAAAAUUUUAUAAAUAAAUAAUUUUAAAUAAUUAAUAGGAUUAGAAUUUUCUAUUGUUAAAAAAAUGUAAUAAUUAAUUUAAAUUUUAUAUUUUAAAAUUUAUUUAAAUUUUUAUAAUAAAGUUAUAAUGAUAAAAUUAGUAAAGUAAAUUUAAGGAAUUCGGCAAGUAAUUUUUACCUGUUUAAUAAAAACAUGUCUUUUUGAUAAUAAUAUAAAGUCUAGUCUGCCCAAUGAUUUAAUGGCCAUAGUAUUUUGACUAUGCAAAGGUAGCAUAAUCAUUAGUUUUUUAAUUGUGAACCAGUAUGAAUGGCUUAAUAAGAAAAUAACUGUCUCUAAAAUUUUAUUUUUAAGUGAAAAAGCUUAAAUUUUUUAAAAAGACGAGAAGACCCUAUAGAGUUUUUUAGUUGGGGUGAUUAUAAAAUUUAAUAAACUUUUAAAAUUAAUGAAAA